AUCCAGCUGACGAGUCCUAAAUAGGACGAAAUGCGCGUCCUGUAU
rnacentral:hammerhead_ribozyme from 1 species